GAUGAACGCUGGCGGCGUGCCUAAUACAUGCAAGUCGAGCGAACGGACGAGAAGCUUGCUUCUCUGAUGUUAGCGGUGGACGGGUGAGUAACACGUGGAUAACCUACCUAUAAGACUGGGAUAACUUCGGGAAACCGGAGCUAAUACCGGAUGAUAUUUUGAACCGCAUGGUUCAAAAGUGAAAGACGGUCUUGCUGUCACUUAUAGAUGGAUCCGCGCUGCAUUAGCUAGUUGGUAAGUUAACGGCUUACCAAGGCAACGAUGCAUAGCCGACCUGAGAGGGUGAUCGGCCACACUGGAACUGAGACACGGUCCAGACUCCUACGGGAGGCAGCAGUAGGGAAUCUUCCGCAAUGGGCGAAAGCCUGACGGAGCAACGCCGCGUGAGUGAUGAAGGUCUUCGGAUCGUAAAACUCUGUUAUUAGGGAAGAACAUAUGUGUAAGUAACUGUGCACAUCUUGACGGUACCUAAUCAGAAAGCCACGGCUAACUACGUG
rnacentral:rRNA from 1 species